rnacentral:tRNA from 1 species
GGGGCUGUGGCUCAGAGGCAGAGCACUUGCCUGGCAUGCGUGAGGCCCUGGGUUCGAUCCUCAGCACCA